UUUACAACUGAGACAGAAAACACUCCAGCCGAGAGUUGAAGUACAUUUACUUGAACACUUCCUAUAAAAUAGAUGUGAAAAUUUGACACUUUUAUAAGUUCCCAAGUCCCAACAAUUGACCGAACAUAUAUACUCAACCCCAAGUCUCGCAGUAAUUUUUCCACAACCAUGUGGGCAUGUAGCAUGAACUUCUGUUUAUGCACACGUAAUAACAUGAUGAGUUUUAUAAGUUCUUUACAGUUUGAGCAACUUACCUCCUUAUCUUUAUCUGAGAGGGUAGGUAAAUCAAUAUGAAUCUGAGAAGCAUGUAGAGUGAACAAUGACCCUGUUAAUGUGGCAGAGUUCUUUACCACACAACUACAUCAUCCCCUUUCACUUCAUAUACCUGUGCAACCACAUUUAGAAUUCUUAAUCAGAGGAUUCAAACCUUAUACUGCUGCUUUCUUACUAGAGUUCUUUACCACACAACUACGUCAUCCCCUCUCACUCCAUAUACCUGUGCAACCACAUUUAGAAUUCUUAAUCAGUGGAUUUUUUUACUGAAGUAGUAACAACGACAACAACAACAACUAUCCAGUAUACUCCCAUCAGGUGGGGCCUGGGGAGGGUAAUAUGCAGACGAGCCUUAUCCCUACCCGAAAGGGCAGAGAGGCUGUUUCCAAUCGACCCUCGGCGCAUANNN
rnacentral:lncRNA from 1 species